AAAAAGUUUUAUUUUAGCUAAAAAUUUUAUUAUUAAUUUAAUUUAUAUGUAAAUUUAAGUAUGAAUUUUUGUUAAUUUUAAAAAUUAAAUAAUUUAAUUUAUUCACAAUAAUUAGUAUUAUUAAUUAAAGAAAUUUAGAAAUAGUAAUAUUAAAUAGUAUUAGUGAAAUUUGUGCCAGCAACUGCGGUUAUACAAAUAAUGCAAAUAAAAUUUUUUAAUUUAAGUUAAAUUUUUAAAGUUAAAUAUAAGUAAAUUUAUUAAGUGAAAUUUUAAUUUUAUUAAAUUUAUAUUUGUAAGUAUAUAUUUAAUUGAAGCUUAAAAAAUUUUAUAAAAAACUAGGAUUAGAUACCCUAUUAUUAAAAUUGUAAUUAAUAAAAUUUAAUUAGUAUUAGUUAUGUUCUUUAAACUUAAAAAAUUUGGCGGUAUUUUAGUCUAUUCAGAGGAACUUGUUUUUUAAUCGAUAAUACACGAUGAACCUUACUUAAUUUUGUAAUCAGUUUAUAUACCGUUGUUAUAAAUAUUUUAUAAGAAAGUUAAUUUUUAAAAUUUAAUAAAAUAAAAUAUAUCAGAUCAAGGUGUAGCUAAUAUUUAAGUAAAAAUGAGUUACAAUAAAAUUUAUUUAAAUGAAUAUAACUUGAAAAUUUUAUUGAAGGUGGAUUUGAAAGUAAAUUUAAAAAUAGAAAUAAUUUGAUUAUAGCUCUAAAAUAUGUACAUAUCGCCCGUCACUUUUAUUAUUAUUUAUAUAAAAUAAGUCGUAACAUAGUAGAUGUACUGGAAAGUGCUUCUAGAAUG
rnacentral:ncRNA from 1 species